rnacentral:lncRNA from 1 species
GAGAUUCUACUUGACUGGUCAUUUCUAUUUAAGCUCAUCUUUAUAUAGAAAAACUUUUCUCUGCUGUUUCUCUUGUUGCAUUCCAACUGCGUUCGCAUCAAUUCAUUGCUAGAACAACCUCACCCGAAAACAAACUAUAAUAAAAGAAAAUAAAGAUGAUGAUCACUGACAAUUGAAUUUGAAACCAUAUUAAGCGUUCUAGCAAUACACUUCCUGAGGAUAUUGCCCUACACCCAUACAUGAAAGCACCCCUUCAAUUAAACAUUGGCGGAAGCUUUUUCACUAGUUUCAUAUUCAGUUUAUUUCCCUCAAAUUGUCCGACUCCCCCAUUUUAUUAUGUCAUCUCUUGUGAAAGGAAGCCUAAAUUUAUCAUGCUUAAUGCCCAUUAAGAUAAUCAUCUGCAAAAUGUGGCUGGAGAAGUAGAAGUUUCCAUGAAGUUUUAACUUUGAUUCAAAGGCUUGUGUGGUUGGUAAUGUUGAAUUUGGAGCCUUGCCUAUAGAGUUCGUGUUUCAGAUAAUUCUGUUACCAUUCUCCUUCCAUUACCUAUCAUUAGACUGAAAAAAAAAUGCCUAAUUUAACAACACAUCAUUCGAUUCAUGGGACAGGUCCUUGGAACUGAUGCUGGUGGAACAAAGGAGAUUGUUGAGCACAAUGUGACAGGUCUUCUUCAUCCUUUGGGACGUCCAGGUACUCAGGUUCUUGCACAAAACUUGGAGUUUCUACUAAAAAAUCCACAGGUAAGGGAGAAAAUGGGAGCUGAAGGAAGAAAGAAGGUAAAGAAAAUUUACUUAAAACGGCACAUGUACAAAAAAUUUGUUGAGGUCAUUGUCAAAUGUAUGAGAACAAAGUAAAAUUUGAGAUUUCUCAUUCUUUCAUUGCUGGUAAAAUUGAAGAAUUUGAGCAACACAUUGGCUACCGUUGUUUACUGUGAGAAAUAUAUAGAAUAAUAUCUUUAAUUUCUCCAAAGAUUGUUGUUACUGGCAGGUUGUUUUUCAGCUUCAGUCAGUUUCUUUUCAUUGAUUCUUUAGAGAUUUGAUGUGUCUUUUAUACUUCCAUUUACUUGUGACACUCUGGUUACGUAGAGAGCUUCUUGUAUUGAAAAUUCUAAAUUUAUAGAAGAUAUGUUAGUUUGAUGGAAAAAAUGAAACCAAAAGGACUGACUGAUGCACAUCUGAUUUCAGUUAGGUUUGGUGAAAGAAUAUCAGUUGGGGUUUUGGGGAAGUUGAAGGACUAAGACAAAAUAUUGACUAUAAUUGAAAAAUUAGAAAAAUUGAAAAAAAGAAAAUAAUUUAUCUCACUAUGAAAAUAGUUAAUGUGAAUAUUAACUAUUUUAUGUGCCACAUAUCUAAUAUCACAUUCUGCAUAUCAAAUUUUUGGUAUCAUCAUAUAAUAUAUAAAUUUAUAUUUCAAUAAGACGUUUAUGCGAAAGAAAGUCAACUCAAAAGGAUUAGAGACAUUAUUAUUAUUAUUAUUUUAGCAAACUCUAGUUUGCUGACUUACAAAUUGGGAUACAACUCCUAUUUAUAGGACUAAGAUCAUAGAUUAAGAUUUUGAUUACUGCUUGUGCCGUAGCUAGAUAUUUUCUCAAUUGAAUUUAUUUUCUCCACCAAAAACGGGCCAUAGUAGGGACUUCUUGUUCAUGAUCAUCAAUGGUUCUAUAAUUAUAGCAAGAGCUUUGAACAUAAAAUACAGAUUGUUCAUAGGUUUUAUCUCAUUAUUUACCUUAUGAUCAUCACCAACUUCCCACACUAUUUGAUAACAAACAAUUAUUAGGACCCAUGUGGGAGAGGACCAUAAAAAAUUAAACCCUAUUAUCAUAGUCUUGUUCAUGGAGAAGGAUAUUGUUUUUGAAUCCAACCAUUUGUUUGUAUGGUUGAAGGGAAUUGAAAGGCCUAAUAAUUUAAAGAGAGAGAGACUGGGGGGGGGGGGGGGGGGUGGGGGGGGCUCUUCUUCAACGAACAAAAGCUUGAGCAAAAUCAUGCUUCAUUGUCGCUAUGGAAGAUCGUUCCAUGUUUAAUUUUGUUCACGUGAUGGUAUGGCCCUAAUGGCUUUGCGUGUAAUUUUUGUUUUCUUAUGUCUUAAUCAAACAUAUAUGAUUUGAUUUGACACUUCCCCCACAUGUCAAACUUAAAAUUAUUGAAACAACAUUUAUAUGAAAUGAUGAAAUAGAAGAAAAAAAAAGGACAGAUAUACAAUUAAUUCUGUCAUCAAAUAUUUAAGAUUGUUUUACAAUUUCAAUAACUAUCACCAAAAUGUACAUCCAUUUUUCUUAUUAUCCAUAGUUAAUAAUAAAAGAUUAUUAUUUACUAUAACCAAUAGACAAUCAUAAAAUAUAUCAUUAUUGAUUACGAAUGGUAGAUUGAUUUUAAAAAGAUAAACUAAUUAAGAAAAUUGACAAUAAAUACAAUUUUGAAGGUAUACAUGAAUUGAUGAUAGUCAAUCAUAAAAGUAUAUCACUUUUAUCAUUGAUAAACAAUGAUAUUUGUGACUAUCAUUGACUACGAUUAGUGGUAGACUACGAUUAAUGGUAGACUAAUUUAUAGGUAAUCCUAUCAUCGAUAAAAAAAGUGAUAGAAGACUAUUACUAACUAUUAAUAAUUAAUGUAUGUCGCUUUUUUUUUAAUCACCAAAAGUGUAUUUGACUCACUAACAUGAGUACAAAUGUGUUGAUAUAGUAUAUCAACUCAUUGUUUGGCCACUACCAUUGUGACACUUUCAGAACCAACUUCGACAACCACUUUCACAGUACUCCCAAUUCCAACUAUCAACUUUGAGCUCCGACAAUCACCUCUGGUGUCCAACUUUGGCAACCAAUUUCAGGCUCCUACAAUCACUUCGAUGAUAAUUCCAGUGACCACUUUUGCAUGAACAACUUCAACGACCAAUUUUGCACCUUUAAUGACCACCUUUCGACGACCAACUCCACUAACCCCCUUCACACGACCAACUACAACAACUGAUUAUGGGCUUCAACAUCCAUCUUUGACGACCACUUUCGCGCAACCAAUUGAUCUGAUGAUCAAUUUCCAGCUCGACAACCACUUCUAAUAACAACUCUCUGACAACCAAUUUGACAACCAUCUUCAUGUGCCAAUCUCCAGACGGUCAAUUUCGGUCUCUAUUAUUUGUGAACAUAUAAAUAAACCCUAAAUACAACCCUUUUCUUUGUGCACAUUCAACACUCGUACGUUCUAUGAUUGUUAGAGUGUAAGGUUGAUAAUUAGAUAAAUAAUUCUACUUUGUCUACUUUAAGUCAACAACUAUAUGUAGAAUGAAUCACAUGUGAAAUGAGUGUCAAGAAUUUGAAAAAUUAUUUAUCGAAUAGAAUAGUUUUACAAAAGACGAACAAAAAACAAACAAAAACAAAAACUCAAAAUAAAAGCAACAAAUAACGCAAAAAAAGGAAGAAAAAAGAUCCAUAAAUUAUAUAUUUGUUUUCUAUAGAUAGCAUUUUCUAGCCAGAAAUUUUUUUAUAAAAAAUAAUGAUUUGUUAUUGGCUAAUCCUCCAAAUUUGAAGAAUUUGAAAGGGAGAUUCAAUUAAAAUAAUUAAUGACAAAAAAAAUAAAAUAAGAAAAUAAAAAUACAGAGUAAUGCUAAAAAUAAGAUUAAAAAUAAAUGAAAAAGAUUGUUAUCAUGUUUUAUUCACACGAGAGUAUAAUUAUUGAAUAAAAAAAGUUUAAAACAAAAAUAUAGUAACCAUAAAACACAAAUAAUUAGGAAGAUUUGUUAAACAAACUUCAAACGUUACCUUUAUAACAUAUGAACUCAAAGAUCUACACUCAAACACUGACAAAUAAGUUCAAACAAAACAAUUUUGCACUCCAAACUUGCAUAUAAACUCUUCAAACAUAUAUGAACUUUAGACAUUAGAUAUUCUAUAUAUUAUUUCUACUUUUACCAGUCAAAAACUGCUUUUAAUCAUUAAAAAUAAAUUUUAAUAUUUUGAAAAAGGUGGUUAAGAAGGUAUUUUCAGAAAAUGAUUCUAACUUAAAAGUAAAAAAAGUAAAAUAAAUAAAAAAAAGCUUUCAUGAUUCUAAAUUUCAAAGGAAAGUUUUAAAGUUUAACAAGUGUGCCUUUUCAUUUAUCCUCCAAACAAGUGCCUAAAGAAAUAAGAAAAUUUUCAUUUCUAGCCACAUCUCCAAAUGCUCUAAGUCACACUUCUUUGAGAGAAUUAAUAGUGCAUUUUCAAAAGAGAUUUCACAACGUUAAUUAUUCAAACAAUAGCACCAAAUCAUUCCGUUUUAAAUAUGUGAAUCAUUUCUCUACUAAUUUUCAAAUGAUCCUAAACAUCUUCCCACAUGUCUUUUCUAAUUUAAUCUUAGAAGUAAAAGAACAAUAAAAUAUUUUAAAACUAGAGAACAUUAAUGCUCUCUAGUUUUCAAUUUCUUUUAGAGAUGGUUAGUUAUAAGAGAAUCAACCUUAAUCUAAAAAUAAUGAUAUUUUAAAGUCUAAAAGUUAGAACAAAAUUAAAGAUGGCCUCCACACAAUUUCUAUAAACUUAGUCUAAAACAAUGUUUUAUCCGUUAUAUAUAUGCAAUCUAAUUUAUAGUUUUAAUUAGCUUGGUUAAUCUAGAAAUUUGAUGUGAAGAACACAUAUUUUGCAAUUAUAAUUAAGUUACAAUAAUAUAUUGUGUAAUUAUUAAGUUGAGGCAUGUGUAACUCUUUUGUUUCAAACUUGUUCAUAAUAUUACUUCUUAGAAAGAUUAAGGUUUUGGAAACUAUAAACGAAGAAAACAAGAAUCUGAAUGAGAAACAAAAUGAAAAAACCACUAAAUUACCAAAUGUCCCUUUGAAUUCAAACGACACAGUGAGAAGAAAAAGUCCACCGACUUAAAGGUUUCAAUGACGGAUGCCAUUGUGGGAAUUGGCAUUGCCAAUGUGUGUUGAUCAGAAGUACUUUCAGAAUUAUUUUUGUCUAUGUUUUAUCACAACCCAAAAGACAAGGAACAACCCUA